UAUGUCAUCGAGUACCAGAACAUAUAGCAAGCUUUAUAUCUGCUGUUGCUAGUAUUUCCUUUUAUGGUCUCCAUCAUUACUUCCAAAUUUAUCUUGGUUUGCUCUUAUUAUUAACCGCAGCAAUUGAAAAGCUUUUGGAUGGAUGUGACACUAAAUAUUCCAUGGGAGAUGAAGUACAUCUGGGAGAUGUGUUCCUAGCACCACAGAUCCAUGCUGCCAUUAAUCGCUUCAAAGUUGAUAUG